rfam:Acidaminococcus sp. CAG:917 genomic scaffold, scf22
CAAGUUAGCCGAAUGGUCGCUUCAAAUUUUUGAAGAGGAAAGUCCGAGCAUCGCAGGGCAAAGGUGCCGGGUAACUCCCGGUGAAGGCGACUUCAAGGAAAGUGCAACAGAAAAAAACCGCCCGCAAGGGUAAGGGUGAAAAGGCGAGGUAAGAGCUCACCGACGACUUGGUAACAAGAAGUAGUGUAAACCCCAUCUGAUGCAAGAGAGUUAUAGACUAUGGGCUGCCCGUCCGUCUAUACAAAUCGCUUGAGUAUACAGGCAACUGUAUAUCUAGAUAGAUGGCCAUUCAAGACAGAACUCGGCUUACAGACUAAUCUUGCUUA